UGGGAAUUUUGGACAAUUGGGCGAAAGCCUGAUCCAGCAAUGCCGCGUGUGUGAAGAAGGCCUUCGGGUUGUAAAGCACUUUUGUCCGGAAAGAAAUCCUUGGCUCUAAUACAGUCGGGGGAUGACGGUACCGGAAGAAUAAGCACCGGCUAACUACGUGCCAGCAGCCGCGGUAAUACGUAGGGUGCAAGCGUUAAUCGGAAUUACUGGGCGUAAAGCGUGCGCAGGCGGUUUGCUAAGACCGAUGUGAAAUCCCCGGGCUCAACCUGGGAACUGCAUUGGUGACUGGCAGGCUAGAGUAUGGCAGAGGGGGGUAGAAUUCCACGUGUAGCAGUGAAAUGCGUAGAGAUGUGGAGGAAUACCGAUGGCGAAGGCAGCCCCC
rnacentral:rRNA from 1 species